AGCAGCCGCGGUAAUUCCAGCUCCAAUAGCGUAUAUUAAAGUUGUUGCAGUUAAAAAGCUCGUAGUUGAAUUUCGGGAUCAAUAUGUUGGUCGUGCCAUUGGUACGUACUGGCAUUAUUGGUUUCUACCUUCUGAAGAACCUCGAUGUCAUUAAUUUGGUGUCUUGGGGAAUCAGGACUGUUACUUUGAAAAAAUUAGAGUGUUUAAAGCAAGCUCGCGCUUGAAUACAUUAGCAUGGAAUAAUGAAAUAGGACGUUUGAUUCUAUUUUGUUGGUUUCUAGGAUCGACGUAAUGAUUAAUAGGGAUAGUUGGGGGCAUUAGUAUUCAAUUGUCAGAGGUGAAAUUCUUGGAUUUAUUGAAGACUAACUACUGCGAAAGCAUUUGCCAAGGAUGUUUUCAUUAAUCAAGAACGAAAGUUAGGGGAUCGAAGACGAUCAGAUACCGUCGUAGUCUUAACCAUAAACUAUGCCGACUAGGGAUCGGAUGAUGUUAAUUUUUUAAUGACUCAUUCGGCGCCUUACG
rnacentral:rRNA from 1 species